UCGGUCGAUAGAGGAUGACCUUCUCCCCCCGCCCCCAGGAGAGGACCGGUCUUCGGUCAAGGGUAUACGAGUAGCUGUGCUCCCCUGCUAGAACCUCCAAACAAGCUCUCAAGGAAAUAAGAGUAGGGAGGACACCAAACGGGGAGGACACCAAACCCAUUGCUAGACAUGAUCAUGAAGCAUAG
rnacentral:snRNA from 1 species